rnacentral:rRNA from 1 species
GACGAACGCUGGCGGCGUGCUUAUCACAUGCAAGUCGAGCGGUAAGGCCCUUUCGGGGGUACACGAGCGGCGAACGGGUGAGUAACACGUGGGUGACCUGCCCUCAGCUCUGGGAUAAGCCCGGGAAACUGGGUCUAAUACCGGAUAUGACUCCAUGACGCAUGUUGUGGGGUGGAAAGCCUUGUGCGGCUGAGGAUGGGCCCGCGGCCUAUCAGCUUGUUGGUGGGGUGANGGCCUACCAAGGCGACGACGGGUAGCCGGCCUGAGAGGGCGACCGGCCACACUGGGACUGAGAUACGGCCCAGACUCCUACGGGAGGCAGCAGUGGGGAAUCUUGCGCAAUGGGCGAAAGCCUGACGCAGCGACGCCGCGUGAGGGAUGACGGCCU